ACUCAAAUGAAUUGACGGGGGAGCGCACAACCAGUGGAGCAUGUGGUUUAAUUCGAGACGAAGCGAAGACCUUACCUAGGUUUGACAUGUACCUGCAAGCUUGCGGAAACGCAGGCCGCCUUCGAGGGUGGUACACAGGUGAUGCAUGGCUGUCGUCAGCUCGUGGCGUGAGCCGUCUGCUUAAGUGCAGCAACGAGCGCAACCCCUGUCGCGUGUUACAUAUCACGCGAGACUGCCUAUCUUCAAGAUGGGAGGAAGGAGGGGACGACGUCAAGUCAGCACGUCCCUUACAUCUAGGGCCACACACAUCCUACAAUGGCGUUGACAACGGGUCGCGACGGGGUAACCCUGAGCUAAUCCUUAUAAACGACGCCUCAGUUCAGAUUGCGGGCUGAAACUCGCCCGCAUGAAGUCGGAAUUGGUAGUAAUCGCAAAUCAGAAGGUUGCGGUGAAUACGUUCUCGCUCCUUGUACACACCGCCCGU
rnacentral:rRNA from 1 species